rnacentral:rRNA from 1 species
AUUGAACGCUCGCGGCAGGCCUAACACAUGCAAGUCGAGCGGUAGAGAGAAGCUUGCUUCUCUUGAGAGCGGCGGACGGGUGAGUAAUGCCUAGGAAUCUGCCUGGUAGUGGGGGAUAACGUUCGGAAACGAACGCUAAUACCGCAUACGUCCUACGGGAGAAAGCAGGGGACCUUCGGGCCUUGCGCUAUCAGAUGAGCCUAGGUCGGAUUAGCUAGUUGGUGAGGUAAUGGCUCACCAAGGCGACGAUCCGUAACUGGUCUGAGAGGAUGAUCAGUCACACUGGAACUGAGACACGGUCCAGACUCCUACGGGAGGCAGCAGUGGGGAAUAUUGGACAAUGGGCGAAAGCCUGAUCCAGCCAUGCCGCGUGUGUGAAGAAGGUCUUCGGAUUGGUAAA